UAAAGAGUUCUUUGUUGUUCAAAAUGUAUAUUUCCGUAACUCUUUGCAUUUUUUUUUUUGCUGCUAGAUAUAAAAACCUCACAAUACUGAUCAUGAUUUGCAGGGAAAUUCUUUGUAAGUGCAUCCAGUGAUCAAAGCAUCUCAAUGUUCAACUUAAAAAUGCUUAAAGUAGCAAUGAAACAACUGUUCAUUGUGAAACGAACAAAUAAUUUAUGGAACUUAGAAUCCAGUGUUUGGAAUGGAUUAUGGCUAAUAGGAUUCAAGCUGUGUCUCAGUGUCCAGCUCCCAGCUGCUGGUCUUUGGAAGUGCAAGUACAGCAUCUUGAAGAUGAG
rnacentral:lncRNA from 1 species